rnacentral:rRNA from 1 species
UACAGAGGUGGCAAGCGUUGUUCGGAAUUACUGGGCGUAAAGGGCGCGUAGGCGGCCUUCUAAGUCAGACGUGAAAUCCCCCGGCUUAACCUGGGAACUGCGUCUGAUACUGGAGGGCUUGAGUGCGGGAGAGGGAUGUGGAAUUCCAGGUGAGCGGUGAAAUGCGUAGAUAUCGGGAGGAACACCAGUGGCGAAGGCGACUACCUGGCCUGUUCUUGACGCUGACGGCGCGAAAGCUAGGGGAG